UACGUAGGGGGCAAGCGUUGUCCGGAAUCAUUGGGCGUAAAGCGCGUGUAGGCGGCUCGGGUAGUCUGGUGUGAAAUCUUUCGGCUCAACCGGAAGCGGUCACUGGAUACUCUCGGGCUUGAGUCCGGAAGAGGAGAGUGGAAUUCCGGGUGUAGCGGUGGAAUGCGUAGAGAUCCGGAAGAACACCGGUGGCGAAGGCGGCCUGCUGGGCAGUUGCUGACACUGAGGCGCGACAGCGUGGGGAGCAAACAGGG
rnacentral:rRNA from 1 species